UGAGAAACUGCAGCAAAUCCUGAAGCUGUUUCCAUCCUGCAAGAUAAAAACUGCCACAUCAACCUCUGAUCCCAAACCUUUGGAGUGGACUCCAGCAGUGUGUGGGUGAAAAUGGGAGCUCAGGGUGAAGAGCACGGGGCCGAUGAGCUGGAGCAGUGGGAACUUCUGUCCGGACAGAUGGACCCAGAGGACGACGACGACAAAGACAACGACGACGGCGAUGAGGAUGAUGAUGACGACAAGGAUGAAGACAAGGAUGACGAUGAAGACGACGAUGACGAUGAAUGUUGUUGAAGUGUAAAUGCUAAUUUCAAUAAAUCACUUCACUAUGAUUUAAAUAU